UGGUUCUAGCAUNGAUGAAGAACGCAGCGAAAUGCGAUAAGUAAUGUGAAUUGCAGAAUUUUGUGAAUCAUCGAAUUUUUGAACGCAUAUUGCGCCUUUUGGUAUUCUGAAAGGCAUACCUGUUCGAGCGUCAUUUCACCUAUCAAAUAUGAUUUGAAUUUGAAUCAAAUUCCUAUGGAAUUGAUUUUAAAGUGAAUGAUGAGUAAGUUCACAACUUCAGCACAACGAGCAAUUUCAUGCAUGUGCCAACAGUUUGGAUUAAUUCAUCAAACGAUAAUUUUCUUGAUGUUGACCUCGAAUCAGGUAGGAUUACCCACUGA
rnacentral:misc_RNA from 1 species